GGAGUGGAGUAUCCCGGGAGCUCAGGGGGUAGGACAUAAAGAGUGAGCAUGGACUGGAACUGGUUUUCCCUUUACCUGACUUUUACCACUGGAGCACCAUGGACUCUCUGAGUCUUUGCCAGGGCACCCAACUAUCCCUUCACUGUCCGACUGAGCCCAGACACACUACUGGACAGUCAUUUUGCUGUUUAUUCCAUACCAAAACCAGGGGAACCACUGCAGCAACAGUCUCAGAGCACUUUGGAGGCCACCCCAGCCCCCGCACUGCUGCCACUUCAGAGCUGUUUUGCAAUACCCAUGCCACUGCUACACCAGAACCCAUGCCAGCACCUCUGCAGCAUAAAACCUUUCAGACAAAAUAACCUUCGAGGUUUUGUUUUAGCCUGGGAGGGGGAGGAGGGCUAGAGAACAUUCUGCUACUGUUGUUUUUCUUUCUUUUUUAGUACAUUUUUUUUCCUUUAUUCGGGCUCAUAAUUUUUUACUCUCUUUCUCUAUUUUGGGGAGAGGAAAAUAAUAAGUGGAGGAGGGUUCAUCUCAUUAGAGGUCCCACCUCCUGAAUAUAUUGACAUUAAAGCAAGACAGCUUUAUACUUCUGUGGAUCUGAUGUGCCAGACCAUCGAAUCCACACAGUCCAGUUGACCUGAUCAUCCUUUUCCUCCUCCUGGCUGAAGGCAGGGACCCUCUAUUCCUGUUCCUGGUCAGAGUAUUCACUGUCUGACCUUUGUGAUGCCAGACCAGAAGUCCCCUCAUCAGGAUCAAAGGAGGUAAUUUCAGUCCUUUUACCCACUGCCUUCAACUCACUACAAUCUGGGAGAUCACUGAUUGCUUUCUUGUGUCUCUGCGGCGACUACAUGGACAACAUUCUUGGGUCACCCCUUCUCAACAGCUCUCUUCCCUCUCAGUUCACAUACACAGGCUUCCAGCUCAAAGGUGUCUGAAGAGGAGAGGAAGUGCCAACAAAACUGUUUCCAGUGCCUGUGUUUACCUGCACUUGAGAGAUCUACCAGCAGGAAAUUCUAAAAUAAUAAAGUUACCUCCAGAAACAGAAGAUAACUGCAUCAGAAUUAGAGACUCUAAAGUGAAUGCAUCACCUUUUUGUGUUUACAAAAAGCAAUUUUUAGCAUAAGACCAUAAUAACUUUGUGCCUUUAAGUUUUUUUUUACUGGAA